GCGAACGCUGGCGGCAGGCCUAACACAUGCAAGUCGAACGCACCUUUCGGGGUUAGUGGCGGACGGGUGAGUCACACGUGGGAACGUGCCUUUAGGUUCGGAAUAACUCAGGGAAACUUGUGCUAAUACCGAAUGUGCCCUUCGGGGGAAAGAUUAAUCGCCUUUAGAGCGGCCCGCGUCUGAUUAGCUAGUUGGUUGAGGUAAUGGCUCACCAAGGCGACGAUCAGUAGCUGGUCUGAGAGGAUGAUCAGCCACAUUGGGACUGAGACACGGCCCAAACUCCUACGGGAGGCAGCAGUGGGGAAUCUUGCGCAAUGGGCGAAAGCCUGACGCAGCCAUGCCGCGUGAAUGAUGAAGGUCUUAGGAUUGUAAAAUUCUUUCAACGGGGACGAUAAUGACGGUACCCGGAGAAGAAGCCCCGGCUAACUUCGUG
rnacentral:rRNA from 1 species